UCACCUGCCAGUACUUUUUUGGAAGAGGUUGCAAGUGCGGAUGACCGGUCUUGCUCAGUACUGCAGAUGGCCAAGACACUCAGUGAGGUAGAUUAUUCUCCUGGGCCUGGACGCUCAGCACUCCUCCCCAACCCCUUGGAAUUGCAGCUUCCCCGAGGGCCCUCGGACUACGGACGACCCCUCAGCUUCCCUCCACCCCGCAUCCGGGAGAGCAUCCAAGAAGACUUGGCAGAGGAGGUGUGUUAGACCAGAGCUAGCUGGCUAUGUGUACCUGAUGUGUGUUUCUUCAUUCUUCCACUCAGAACUCACUGGUGUCUACAGCCCCCUUUGCUUGUAGCGGGACAAUGGGCCUUUUGGGGACACAUGAGUCAGCUCCAUUCCUUUCUCAUUUCCCUCAGAGCAUGGGUAGAAUGUGGCUGUUUGCAUGUGUUUUUGUGAAGAGCCAUCCUUUUUAGUUUUCCCCCCUAACAUGCCCUAUUCCCUUAGGCUCCGUGCCCGCAGGGCGGGCGGGCCAGCGGGCUGGGAGAGGCGGGCAUGGGUGCCUGGCUGCG
rnacentral:lncRNA from 1 species